AACCCUAAGUUUAAGCCUUUUCCUUGAUAUGUAUGAUUAAUCUAUGUAAUUAAACUCCAAGUUUUAUGUAGUAAUGUCCACAAAAAGUCGUUAUUUUCAGUUUCUUAUUAGCUUCUGCUGUUCUACUCCUCAAGUAUUGGCGAUAAUCUAUUUCGUAUUUAUUCACAUCAAAAGUAACGAUGCGAAUGAAAUUGCAAAUCCCGCAUUCCUCUUUUGUGCAAUGGUAGCCGUGACCCCCCCCAGCUUUGAUGCUAAUAUUAUUACCAUCAUAUUUUGCGGGAAAACUUAUUUCUGAGACGGGGAAAUUGAAACUAGCUCUGCACAAUGUUUUGAUGCAUGAAACAGAUAAAAUCACCACCAGGGAUAUCACGCGUUUCAUCAGAUACAUCGAAGCCAGGCCUUUUAGGUUUACAGUGUGCAAGUUCAUCCCCAUAGACUGGACGCUACCUGUGCUCUUAAUCAAACUAUCUGUCAGUUAUCUGAUCGUGGCUAUUCAGUUUACGUUUCUGAAUUAAAUUAUGGGAUACUUACUUAUCGAUACUAUAUUUUAUAAUAAAUACGUUGUCAAUAUAUUGGUAAUAUUCACAGAUAAAAUAUUGUAAGAUAUUUUGUUAUGCAUUAUGGCAAAAAAAAAAUGAAUAUUAGGCUUACCGACAUUGCUCAGGAAGUAGCCCAAAGAAAGUGGCGAUGGGCGGGCCAUAUAUGCCGCACCACAGACGACCGCUGGGGCAAAGUGGUACUGGAGUGGAGACCCCAGAACUGGUCGCCGGAAUGUGGAUAAACCACCUGUCAGAUGGACGGACGAUCUGGUCAAGAUUGCUGGAAGGAGGUGGAUGAGAAAAGCACAAAACCGUGGAGAAUGGCGCGCAUUACUAGAGGCCUACAUCCAGCAGUGGAUGGAUAUGGGCUGAAGAAGAAGUAUAUAUAUUCUGUUUAUUGAUUUAUCGCUCAUAGUUUUUAUUUAAAAUAUGUCUGUAUGCCGAUUUUUUGGAUAAAGACAAUAUAGGUACUUAUAAAUUAUUAAAGUUAUUCUGGCCAUAGAUAUAC